rnacentral:rRNA from 1 species
CGAAUGGUGGAAUGAGCGGCGGACGGGUGAGUAACACGUAAAGAACCUGCCCAUAGGUCUGGGAUAACCACGAGAAAUCGGGGCUAAUACCGGAUGUGUCAUCGGACCGCAUGGUCCGAUGAUGAAAGGCGCUUCGGCGUCGCCCAUGGAUGGCUUUGCGGUGCAUUAGCUAGUUGGUGGGGUAACGGCCCACCAAGGCGACGAUGCAUAGCCGACCUGAGAGGGUGAUCGGCCACACUGGGACUGAGACACGGCCCAGACUCCUACGGGAGGCAGCAGUAGGGAAUCUUCCACAAUGGACGAAAGUCUGAUGGAGCAACGCCGCGUGAACGAUGAAGGCUUUCGGGUCG